GGUGGGUUGGCAGAGCGGUUGAAUGCACCGGUCUUGAAAACCGGAGUGCCUGAAAGGGCACCGGAGGUUCGAAUCCUCCACCCACCG
rnacentral:tRNA from 1 species